UACGAAGGGGGCUAGGCGUUGCUCGGAAUUACUGGGCGUAAAGGGCGCGUAGGCGGGUCGUUAAGUUGGGGGUGGAAAGCCCAGGGCUCAACCCUGGAAUUGCCUUCAAUACUGGCGACCUUGAGUAUGGCAGAGGUGUGUGGAACUCCGAGUGUAGAGGUGAAAUUCGUAGAUAUUCGCAAGAACACCAGUGGCGAAGGCGGCUCACUGGCCCGAUACUGACGCUGAGGCACGAAAGCGUGGGGAGCAAACAGG
rnacentral:rRNA from 1 species